rnacentral:misc_RNA from 1 species
AGCAUUAAGAGGUCGUUCGGACAAAAAGGAUUGGGAAAGAGUUGAAAAAAGUGUGGUGCAAUAUCUUGGUGAGCAUACCGAAGAUAGCUGCCUGAAAUAUGUGAAGAUGAGUUAUGAUUAUUUGCCCCGAGAAGUGCAGAUGUGCUUUUUGUAUUGUGGUGUCUUUCCUCGAGGCUUUGAUAUCCCUUGUUGGAAGUUGAUUCGUUUGUGGAUAGCCGAGGGGUUGAUAAAGCCGCAGCCUGAGUCCACUCUACAAGUAGAGGAGAUAGCAGAGUUUUAUUUGACAGACCUUCUCAACAGAAA